rnacentral:rRNA from 1 species
AUUGAACGCUGGCGGAAUGCUUUACACAUGCAAGUCGAACGGCAGCACGGGGCAACCUGGUGGCGAGUGGCGAACGGUGAGUAAUACAUCGGAACGUGCCCAAUCGUGGGGAUAACGUAGCGAAAGUUACGCUAAUACCGCAUACGAUCUACGGAUGAAAGCGGGGGAUCGCAAGACCUCGCGCGAAUGGAGCGGCCGAUGUCAGAUUAGGUAGUUGGUGGGGUAAAGGCUCCCCAAGCCAACGAUCUGUAGCUGGUCUGAGAGGACGACCAGCCACACUGGAACUGAGACACGGUCCAGACUCCUACGGGAGGCAGCAGUGGGGAAUUUUGGACAAUGGGCGCAAGCCUGAUCCAGCCAUUCCGCGUGCAGGAUGAAGGCC